rnacentral:tRNA from 1 species
GGACACGUAGCUCAGCUGGAUAGAGCGUCGGCCUCCGGAGCCGAAGGUCGUGGGUUCGAACCCCGCCGUGUUCA